UGAACUCACAGAGAUCCGCCUGGCUCUGCCUCCCGAGUGCUGGGAUUAAAGGCGAGUGCCACCGCUGCCCGGCCCAAGGAAAUAUUCUAUCCACAAUUUUUUCAAAUACAGCUAAGUUUCUUGUUGUGGCCACACCGUUCCUUAGUAGGUCGAAUUGGGAUUGCAAAUUUAUACAGAUCACUUCUUGCAGCCUCACACUUGGGCUUAUGUCUUAGAAACCACUAAUUAACUGAUCACUUUAACUUAAGAUAAUAAGAAAAUCUAGAUGGCAAGUGAGGGUUUAAAACCCACAGGAAAAACUAGGGUUAGGGACACUGCGUCUAACCCAGCACUCAGGAGUUUAGGCAGGUCGAUAACCCUGAGUUCCGAACCAGUCUGGGCUACAAUGUGAGUACCAGAUCAGCCUGGGCAAGACUGAUCUAGUAAAACAGUGAGGCUCUGUUUCCAAAAGUCUCAAAACAAUGAAAUUCAUGAUACAGACCUUUUCAUCGAAAUACGGAGCGCGGGCCCGUUUUCAGGACCACGGACAGCGCACACAGAAUCGCUCUCUCAUAUUAUUGGUGCUGAAAAUGGUUCUCUGACUGCUGAGGGGACUUAAUUAGCUUCAGAAUUUACAAACCCUGUUCCACAUCCGUCAUUUCAUUCCUCGCCGGCCUCGCCUUCAAGGCGAUCAUUGUUGGCUCUGUGACACAGAGGAAGCAACCGAGACUUAGGAGGUCCAUGAGACACCGAAAGUGGCGAGAACCAGCUUUGAUUUCGGCAGAAUGACGCUGGAGCAGAACCAAGUAUAUUGAGAGGGCUGUGGCAGUGUUUCAGGUAUCCUACGCAAAAUGGUUCCAGCAGUCUGAGUACUUCUCUUUGAUAUCAAAGACUCAGGCAGUGGAUUGUUGAGAGUCCUCUUGGUGGGCACAUCUGAAGGGUGUUGCCAGAUGGAUGACGUGCCUACUUGGAGCUUUCUGGAGAGUUAUAUGUGUCCCUUUAUGGAGAAUCUACCAAGGCCUGGAACUUAGGCUCACCUUAUAAUAAACCUACAUGGUCACCCACA